AUGGCCACAUCCCAGCUCGAUCUCGUCGGGAACGAGGCCACCUGCAACCACCGGCCUCCAUCAAUCCAACUAUCCAUCCAUGCCCGCGGCAGCACUCCCACCGCCCGUGCUCCUUCCCCAGCACCGAGAGGCUUCGAGAGAGCCGAGGCGCGCUCCGAGCGGGGCGAUCCACCAUCCGUCCCAACCUCCUCCGCCCGCCUCCUUCUGUUUUCUGCGGGUCCUGCAGAUGGCGGCAACGGGCGUCGGCGCCGGGUGCCUCGCCCCAGCGUCCGCCUACGCGCUGAUCCGGCAACGGCGGCCCGGGCGUCCGCCUGCGUCGUCCGCACGUGGCUCCGGCGCGUCACGCGGGGCCGCUACGUCGUCGAGCUNNNNNNGGAGGACCCCGCGGCGCGCCCCGCGCAGCAGCAGCAGCAGCUGGCCCCGCCCGUCAUGCCCGGCUUCCUCGCGCCGCCCCUGCCCGCGCCUGCCCAGUCGCCGGCCCCGACGCAGCCGAGACGGACUUCAGGAAGGCGCUGGACUCGGCGUUGUUCCGGCGAUGGCUGGAGAACCUGCAGGCGGAGAAGGGCCUGCUCGCCCACGGGAAGCUCAGCCUCCGGCAGAUCCUCAUCCAGGGGGUGGACAUGUUUGGCAGCGCGUGGGGUUCCUCAAGUUCAAAGCCGACAUCGUCGACGAGGAAACCAAAGCCAAGGGAUUGUCUUUGCAAGAGGGCUUGCUGUUGCUGUGUUGAUUCUUUUGGAGUCCAAAGGGCAAACUUAUGAUGUUCUCACUGAACAGAAACGGGUUGUUGCCCACAGCACGCUGCGGCGACGUCUUCUCCUCUCUUCGUGGGUGCUCGCCGGUCCACGCUGCCACCCAUCAAUGUUGACAAGUCACCAUCUAAAAGGUUGUCCGAGGAGAAACUGCUGGUUUCGAACACUAGCAAGCUCCUGGCAUGGACAAGACAGAAGUGGGAAGGCUAUUGCUGCUCCAUGCUCCCGGCUUGACUUAAAUAUAUGGACCUGA
rnacentral:rRNA from 1 species